CAGCCGCCGCGGUAAUGCGUAGGGUGCGAGCGUUAAUCGGAAUUACUGGGCGUAAAGCGUGCGCAGGCGGUUGUGUAAGACAGGUGUGAAAUCCCCGGGCUUAACCUGGGAACUGCGCUUGUGACUGCACAGCUAGAGUAUGGCAGAGGGGGGUGGAAUUCCACGUGUAGCAGUGAAAUGCGUAGAGAUGUGGAGGAACACCGAUGGCGAAGGCAGCCCCCUGGGCCAAUACUGACGCUCAUGCACGAAAGCGUGGGGAGCAAACGGGAUUAGAGACCCGCGUAGUCCCUGUCUCUUAUAC
rnacentral:rRNA from 1 species